rnacentral:sRNA from 1 species
AUCUUUACCCCCAUAUGCUGUAAACACACAGUCACGGAUUUGGACACAUAUACCAUUGAAUCCGGUCAGGUGAUUUAACGUUUACCUUUACUCCGUAAUUACGUACUUUGACGCACUCCGGACGGAGGCUCUCACGGCGACAUAAAGUGAUCUAAGGAUUCAGGGGAAUUUUUCAGUAAUGCCGGAUUUUACUAACUUGUACCAUAAUUUUUCUCUGUUAAUUGUAUGAAACGUUUUUUUUUGUAAUCAAUGAAACAACAUUUAAGUCUCUG